rnacentral:rRNA from 1 species
AUUGAACGCUGGCGGCAGGCCUAACACAUGCAAGUCGAGCGAGCGGCGGACGGGUGAGUAAUGUCUGGGAAACUGCCUGAUGGAGGGGGAUAACUACUGGAAACGGUAGCUAAUACCGCAUACCAUCAGAUGUGCCCAGAUGGGAUUAGCUAGUAGGUGGGGUAAUGGCUCACCUAGGCGACGAUCCCUAGCUGGUCUGCGAGGAGGACCAGCAAAACUGGAACGGAGACACGGUCCAGACUCCGACGGGAGGCAGCAGUGGGGAAUAUUGCACAAGGGGCGCAAGCCUGAUGCAGCCAUGCCGCGGGGGUGAAGAAGGCCUUCGGGUUGUAAAGCACUUUCAGAGGGGAGGCGUUACCCGCAGAAGAAGCACCGGCUAACUCCGUGCCAGCAGCCGCGGUAAUAC